AAAACAUGUCCCAUUUGAAGGUAUAAAUGGUCUGGCCUGCUCACUGAUAAAGUUAUUUAAGAGCCGCGGUAUAUUGACCGUGCAAAGGUAGCAUAAUAAUUAGGGAUUUAAUUGGGACCUAGUAUGAAGGGUUGGACAAAGGAGGAACUGUCUUUAUAAUAAAGUUUGAAAUUUACUUUUAAGUGAAAAGGCUUAAAUAGAUCAAAGGGACGAUAAGACCCUAUAAAGCUUUAUGAAUUGUUUAAAUUUAAUUGAUUUAAAAAUAAAAAUUAGGUUUGAUUAUUUUAUUUCGUUGGGGCGAUGUGAGUAUAAUUGUGACUAACUGCUUAAGGAGAAUACUAUUAUAAUAGAAUACAAAAUAUGAUCCUUUAUAAAGAUUAAAAGACUAAGUUACUUUAGGGAUAACAGCGUUAUUUCUUUUGAGAGUUCAUAUCGAAAAAGAAGGUUGCGACCUCGAUGUUGAAUUAAAAUGUCUAUAUAAUGUAGCCGUUAUAUAAGAGGGUCUGUUCGACCUUUAAAUUUUUACGUGA
rnacentral:rRNA from 1 species